UACGGAGGGUGCAAGCGUUAUCCGGAAUUACUGGGCGUAAAGCGUGCGCAGGCGGUUUGUUAAGUCAGAUGUGAAAUCCCCGGGCUCAACCUGGGAAUGGCAUUUGAGACUGGCAGGCUAGAGUGUGUCAGAGGGGGGUAGAAUUCCACGUGUAGCAGUGAAAUGCGUAGAGAUGUGGAGGAACACCGAUGGCGAAGGCAGCCCCCUGGGAUAACACUGACGCUCAUGCACGAAAGCGUGGGGAGCAAACAGG
rnacentral:rRNA from 1 species